CAUAAUACUGACUGAAUGGAAAAGUUUAGCUUAGGGUUUAAAACCCUAAUGCUGACUAAAGGAAAAGAUCAGUUUAGGGUUUAAAACCCUAAUGCUGACUAAAGGAAAAGAGUUCAGUUUAGGGUUUAAAACCCUAAUGCUGACUAAAGGAAAAGUUCAGUUUAGGGUAUAAAACCCUAAUGCUGACUAAAGGAAAAGUGUUCAGUUUAGGGUUUAAAACCCUAAUGCUGACUAAAGGGAAGAGUUCAGUUUAGGGUUUAAAACCCUAAUGCUGACUAAAGGGAAAAAGUUCAGUUUAGGGUUUAAAACCCCUAAUCCUGAUUAAAGGGAAAAGUUCAGUUUAGGGUUUAAAACCCUAAUGCUGACUAAAUGGAAAAAUUCAGUUUAGGGUUUAAAACCCUAAUGCUGACUAAAGGGAAAAAGUUCAGUUUAAGGUUUAAAACCCUAAUCCUGAUUAAAGGGAAAAGUUUAGUUUAUGGUUUAAAACCCUAAUGCUGACUAAAGGGAAAAAGUCUCGAGGAUACUAACUGACUCCCUUUUUUUGAAUUUUCUUGUUUUAGUAAAAGAUAAAAGAGAAUUUCUUGAAAACUUACCUCUCGAGUGGAUUUCUUAUUGCCAAACUUGUUUCUUGUACUCAUGUACUUUCUUCUUUGGGUGACACCUGCUUCUUGCACGGUUGUCUUGGAUUAUACCUGUUUCAAUCUUUUCAAACAAAGAAACAAUUGUUAGCUCGGAAAUAGCGGUUGGUUCGGUGACCUUGAUUGUUCCAGUUGCUUUGUUGCGUCCUUAUUUCUGUUGAGAAGUCCUGCCAUUGAUUGGAUUAAAAUGGCGAAACCUUUUUAGACUUCUCAGGCUUGUAUUUCCAGAUUCUGUGAUGAUUUGCCUCGUAAGGCUCUUUUUCCAUCCGAUUUUGCUUGGGGAUUUUUCAACAGGGAUUUUAUUGGGGAUACUCUGUGGGUUUUUGUACAAGGCUGACUUGUGGGGGAUUUGUUGCAAAGCGGACUUGCCAGGAUUUGUUGUGAAAGCUCGCUGAGGAAUUUUUUUACAAAGGGAGGCUCUGUGGGGAUUUGUACAAAGGGAAGUUCUGUGGGGAUUUGUACGAGGCGGGCUUGCUGGGGAAAUUUCUCUCUUUUUUUUUUAAAUGCAGUCAAACAUCAUGAUUCAUCAGGUUUGGAAAA
rnacentral:lncRNA from 1 species